AUGGUACUUCUUAGGGCUUAUACCCUUUGA
rnacentral:piRNA from 1 species